rnacentral:tRNA from 6 species
CGGGAUGUGGCGCAGUCCGGUUAGCGUACACGGCUGGGGGCCGUGUGGUCGCAGGUUCAAAUCCUGUCAUCCCGACUA